AGUUAGCAAGAUUGAGCUCCGUCAUUUGGAUCCAUUAGCCCGUACAGGAGCUCGCUCCAAUACUCGCGUUAUCCACAAAAUGUAGCAGUAGAUUGAAGAUGGCAUUGCUAAGCGCGCUCCUAACAGUCUCCGUCCACAGUCUCUAGCGGCAGAUUGGAGACUGAGUUGAUAAGCGCGCUUCUCACGGUGUUCAUCCACCGUCUCUAGCGGUUGAACGAAAAUGAGUUGGGAACGAGUCCAGGCGAGCGCAUCUAGCCGCGUGUGUAGUGCGUUUGGAGUUGCGGAGAAAUGCAGGAGUCUGGAUGCGCGCGCCGCGCGUCCUUCAACAGGCAAGUUGUUGUUAGUUGUGAUUCAGGAUUCAGUUGUGAUUUAAGUCGUGAGCGCUCAUGGAAUUGAUUGUAAAGUCCACUUGUUAAAUGGCCUCACUCCAGACGAGCAUCUGCACUCAGAUUUAUUUCCAAGUAUUCUGGAAUUUCCAAGCGGCUAAUAUUCUAUGAUCUGAUUGCCCAUCCUGUAUCUGAGCAAUCAUUGGUAGAGAGUUAGCAGCAAAAUCAAAUCACCUCAAAAUUCAUCAUUUAGUGCUUCAAACAACAUUGAUAUCAA